ensembl:lncRNA
GAUGAGCCCACCUGAUUUCAAUUCCCCUUAUAGAGGGAAGCAUCCUUCUCCCCUGAGUAGUGAAGGCUUCUAUCACAUCCUGUCUACUGUCUGCUGUACACAUUGGGGUGUCACCCCAGGACUUUGUGUAAGAUCCCCGUGUCCAGUGAACUCUCCAUGCCUCUGUCACUGUCUCCAGGCUUUUUGUUUGGUCCCGAGGCUGGGCAACUACAAGACUUGUGGGCCUGUGGGGUGCAAUACAACAGAAGUGAAGUGAAGUGAAGUGAAAGUCGCUCAGUUGUGUCCGCCUCUUUGUGAUCCCAGGGACUAUAUAGUGAUCCCAUGGAAUUCUCCAGGCCAGAAUACUGGAGUGAGUAGCCAUUUCCCUCUCCACAGGAUCUUCCCAACCCAGGAAUCCAACCGGGUCUCCUGCAUUGCAGGCAGAUUCUUUACCAACUGAGCAUCAGGGAAGCCCCAAUACAACAGAGGUCCUAAAGGAGCUGCCAUUUGGGAUCGGUCUGGUUUUCUGUUGGUCCUGUAAUGUACACUAUUUCCAAGAGGCCCCUAGAUGUGUGGAAAGUCAGGGAAUGAAGGUGAAUUCAGCCUGGAAGCCAAACUGCAUCUGGACCUCUCUUAAUGAAGAGGAUUUCUCUGGACUACACCCAUCCUUAUCCAGAAACUUCCUUCCAGAGGCCAAACUAUCGGGAAGGCACAGAUGAGGCA